rnacentral:rRNA from 1 species
ACAUGCUUACAACAUAGUGUUAAUGCACUAGAUCCCAUUAGAACUUUGGAGUUAAGCGCACUCGGGAUAGAGUAGUACUGGGAUGGGUGACCACCCGGGAAGUCUUAGUAUUUUACAUGCC